rnacentral:rRNA from 1 species
UAAGACAGAGGGGGUAAGCGUUGCUCGGAAUUACUGGGCGUAAAGGGCGUGUAGGCGGGAGCGUGAGUCGGUCGUGAAAGCCUUCGGCUCAACCGAAGAAGGGCGGCCGAUACUGCGUUCCUUGAGGGGUGGAGAGGAGACUGGAAUUCCCGGUGUAGCGGUGAAAUGUGUAGAGAUCGGGAGGAACACCGGUGGCGAAGGCGGGUCUC